GAGACCAAAUCGUCAAGCUCUUUCUGGAUUCUAGUUGUGCCACGUAGCCUCUGGAGCAGGAUCUUUGCCUCAUCAAUGUUGCCAUCACGUUGGAUUAUGAAGCUGGGUGUCUCAGGCAGGAAUACUGCGCCCAGUGUUAGGAAUGCAGCUGGCACAGCUGCCAGGGAGAGAGAGAUUCUCCAGCCCCAUCCAUCUGCAAUUUUCUCGACUCCAAAGUUGAUGAGGUUUGCGAUGAGGAUGCCGAUGCUUAUGCAGAGCUCAAAGCCAUUGUUGAUGGCCCCACGGUACUGGGGUGGCGCCAUUUCUGAUAGGGAGCAUGAAUGUCCCUUGUAGAUUAAGAAUCUGGAAAGGUCUGAUGAUAAUAUCAAGUGCCUGGGGCAACCUGCAUGUUUUGUUUCUUUUUGCAAAAGCAGCAGGUAAUAAAUUAAAGGAACCACAUGAAUAUGGGUAGUCUGUGCCACUUGCCGAUGUUGACAAGGACAGAAGAGAGGAUGAGCAAUUCGCAUUAUAUUGGUUGUGGCUGCUGGCUGGCUGGCUGGCGUGAAGUAGCGAUGAGGAUCCUGUUGAGGAGGAGCAUGUAGACGUUGACGGCUGCCCCGCCGAAGACGGAGCCGACGACGAAGACAGUGCCGCCGAUGAGAAUGGAGGCGCGGCGGCCGAACCUCCUUGUGACGGAGGAGGCGAAGAGCGUUGCGACG